GGGUGAGUAGCUCAGCGGUAGAGCCCCGGCCUGUUAAGCCGGAUGUCGAAGGUUCGAAUCCUUCCUUGCCCU
rnacentral:tRNA from 1 species